rnacentral:rRNA from 1 species
ACUGCUCAGUAACACGUGGAUAACCUACCCUUAGGACUGGUAUAACCCCGGGAAACUGGGGACAAUCCCAGAUAUGUGAAGAUUCCUGGAAUGGUCCUUCACUCAAAUGCUCCGGCGCCUAAGGAUGGAUCUGCGGCCGAUUAGGUUGUUGGUGGGGUAAAGGCCCACCAAGCCGAUAAUCGGUACGGGUUGUGAGAGCAAGAGCCCGGAGAUGGAACCUGAGACAAGGUUCCAGGCCCUACGGGGUGCAGCAGGCGCGAAAACUUUACAAUGCUGGCAACAGCGAUAAGGGAACCUCGAGUGCCAGGUUACAAAUCUGGCUGUCGAGAUGCCUAAAAAGCAUUUCAUAGCAAGGGCCGGGCAAGACCGGUGCCAGCAGCCGCGGUAAUACGAUCCCCCCGU